AUUGAACGCUGGCGGCAGGCCUAACACAUGCAAGUCGAGCGAGCGGCGGACGGGUGAGUCAUGUCUGGGAAACUGCCUGAUGGAGGGGGAUAACUACUGGAAACGGUAGAUAAUACCGCAUCCCAUCAGAUGUGCCCAGAUGGGAUUAGCUAGUAGGUGGGGUAACGGCUCACAUAGGCGACGAUCCCUAGCUGGUCUGAGAGGAUGACCAGCCACACUGGAACUGAGACACGGUCCAGACUCCUACGGGAGGCAGCAGUGGGGAAUAUUGCACAAUGGGCGCAAGCCUGAUGCAGCCAUGCCGCGUGUGUGAAGAAGGCCUUCGGGUUGUAAAGCACUGUCAGCGGGGAGGCGUUACCCGCAGAAGAAGCACCGGCUAACUCCGUGCCAGCAGCCGCGGUAAUAC
rnacentral:rRNA from 1 species